rnacentral:precursor_RNA from 15 species
CUUAAAUUGUUCAUUGCGCCUUUGAGAGUUCCAUGCUUCCUUGCAUUCAAUAGUAUUUAUAUAAGCAUAUGGAAUGUAAAGAAGUAUGGAGCGAAAUCUGGCGAAGCAUCAUACCAAACUG